rnacentral:rRNA from 1 species
GCAAGUCGAACGGUCUUUUCUAUGGAAGCUUGCUUCCACUGAGAAGAUAGUGGCGGACGGGUGAGUAACACGUGGGUAACCUGCCCAUAAGAGGGGGAUAACAUCCGGAAACGGGUGCUAAUACCGCAUAGUUUUCUUGAUCGCAUGAUUGAGAAAGGAAAGACGGCCUUUGUGCUGUCGCUUAUGGAUGGACCCGCGGCGUAUUAGUUAGUUGGUGAGGUAACGGCUCACCAAGACGAUGAUACGUAGCCGACCUGAGAGGGUGAUCGGCCACAUUGGGACUGAGACACGGCCCAAACUCCUACGGGAGGCAGCAGUAGGGAAUCUUCCGCAAUGGACGAAAGUCUGACGGAGCAACGCCGCGUGAGUGAAGAAGGUUUUCGGAUCGUAAAACUCUGUUGUCAGAGAAGAACAAGUCGGAGAGUAACUGCUCCGGCCUUGACGGUAUCUGACCAGAAAGCCACGGCUAACUACGUGCCAGCAGCCGCGGUAAUACGUAGGUGGCAAGCGUUGUCCGGAUUUAUUGGGCGUAAAGCGAGCGCAGGCGGUUCCUUAAGUCUGAUGUGAAAGCCCACGGCUCAACCGUGGAAGGUCAUUGGAAACUGGGGAACUUGAGUACAGAAGAGGAGAGUGGAAUUCCAUGUGUAGCGGUGAAAUGCGUAGAUAUAU